GACUCCUGAGUGACCUGGAACUCAGCUCCCAGCCUAGAGAGUCACAUGUCUUUGUCCCUGCUUCCCAGUGUGCAGUCCUUGCUGGCCCUGAAGUGUGGCUAUGUGGAGAGAGCGCUCCCAGCAUUCCAUGCUCCAUUCCCUUCCUACCCCACUGCUCCUUCCUACUUUUCCAUUGCCUCAUGACUGUGAUUCUCACAUAGCAAACAGGAGAAUACUGAAGAAUGAAAAUGAAUCAAUGGAUAUGUUCUUAAGGACCUUAAGGAACAUUACUUAUUUUAACUCUGAUGAAACACAACAUGGUGAAUCAGUAUUCUCAUCCUUAUUACAGAUGAAAAGUUGAGUUACAAAGAAGUGCAAAGAAUCCUUUUAGGAUUAGUCAUGGAGAGGGAGAGCCUGAAUUUGAACUCAGAAGGUCUGGCUCCUAAAUUCACAAUUUAUUUAAUGUUUCAUUUGCUUGGGAAAGACAACUAAACACCAUAUUUAAUAAAAUGAUCAAGUCAAACUACAAAAAAUAUAUUUUUAAAAAAUGUUUUGUGACCUUGUUCUGAGGACUGAAUUGCAGGUUCUUGAUAGAGGGUCCUCUGAGCCUCAGUAUACGUGAGGUGCCUAUGAGGACCUGGGUCUGUUGUUAGAGAGGUACAGAGAGGCAGAACCAAGAACUGCUCUGCCUUCUAAUGGGUUUUUUCUGACUUUUCUCCUGUAGCUGAGCCCAAGUGACCGUGUACUCCACAAAGACCCAGCCCCUGAAGCACCACAGUCUCCUGGUCUGUUCUGGGCACAGUCUGGAUCUGCACAGAGCAAGAUGCUGAGUGGAGUUGGAGGUUUUGUACUGGGUCUGCUGUUUCUUGGGAUGGGGCUGUUUAUCUACUUCAGGAAGGAGAAAGGGCUCCUGAGCUAAACAGAUGGUCUCAGCACUGAAGGAAGUAGCUGAGUCCCUGCUUCUCCAUGACUUCUCCACAUCAUGACAGACUUCCUGGUUGGCUCUGGUUCUCUCGCACACACAGCCUCUCCUGGUGCCCAGGACCACACAGAAUGUCAUCGUUCAUGGCUUCCCCUGCCCUUGGGCCCCACCUGGAAGCCCAGGCACAGACUGUGGGGCCUUCCCUUCAUUCCCUCCUGGUCCCUUUCUGAUCAGCAUUUACCUGCUCAGGGCUUCUGCACUCACUCUGGACAGUGUUGCUUUAUUGUUUCUCAAAGGAAUGUGGAGUGAAAUAUCAUCUGCUUCCUACAAUUUUGAGGACAAAAAUACAGAAGAAAACAGGAGGAGGAUCUCAAAAUGCACUACUGGUUUUCACUGAUGCAUAAAAAGUGUGUGAGGAUAUGCAUAUGUGGAACAGGCUGCAUUAACCAUUUCACAAUGUCUAGAGGUUAAACCAUCAUAUUCUAUGAAAUAAUUGCAUGCAAUUUUCCCUUCUCAUUGAAAACACAUUUUAAAAUUAGAUUGGAAUUAGAUUGCCAAAAUAUGUAAAAUUGACGUAUAAUAAUUGAAACAAAUGAUCACAAUUAUAUGAUAGGAAACAAGCUUUAAAAACAAAUAAAUGCCUUUCUCCAAAUACUGUAUGAGUAUUCUUGAAAAUUAAUUUAUUGACAUCCAGAGAUAGACGUCAUUAUAUGUCAGUACAGAUUAGCUAUUCAGUACAGCACACUCAUUGAUUGAGAGUUCUGCUCUUCUGUUCCAUUGAAACAAAGAGUCAGUUUUGUAAUGCAAGACAAAUCAAAAUUUAAAUAAUUCAGAAUUUUGGUUAAGAAUAAGAAUCAUUUGAACACAGUUUUUUCGUUCUCCUCUGCAGUUCUCAUUUUUAAAUAAGUAGACUGUACAUUAUUAUGCUGCUUUUCAAUUAGCUCAUGAGUUCUUUGUACAAGCUGAUUUUCCUGUGUGACUUUCAUGGGCUGAUAUUGAGGUCCAUUCUGGUACAAUGUGGGUUGCAACUUCAUUGUGACUUUUUUUCCCAAGAAGAAGAAAUGGUUUAUGGCAUGUUACAUACUAACUCUUUUGUGAAACUAUAAGGUAGAAUUUAAAACAUAUGACCAAAAUUUCAAUCAAGAUGCUUUAUACUUCACAUAGCUGGAAAUCCAAUCCAAAGUCCUAUUUUUCCUUGAUUUUCCUAGGGCAGGGAGAAGUUAGAUGCAAGUGUGUGUCUCUAGUGCUGCUCACUUCAGCAGGCAGGUGGCUCCUGCAAUGAUCCCCCAGUUUCAUCCCUCUUCCCUUGUCAUUCACAGACUGUCCUCAGUCCUGAGACGGCAAAACAAACAACCAUGACACAUUUAGGUUUUCAUAUUCAGAGCGUAAAUGGCUAGGACGUUGAAAGUCUUUUCUCUUGGGUGCUUCUGUAAGUAGCAUCUGCACUUUUCCCUGAGUUCCCAGUCAAGUCACUUCAUUCCUAGCAAGGGGCAGAGGAUUUUGGUGACAGCUCUGACAAACCUUCCUUCAGCCUGGGACCUGGCCCUGAUGCCGUGGGAACCACAGCAGCAAUAUGGCAUCUAUUUUGAAAGAAAAAAAAAUGGUAUGAAUGAUUCAGGGAUAAAAAAAAAUUGAUAGCAUUUUUAAUUAAUUUCUUGAUAAGAAUCCUGAAUGGUUUUGUGUCUAUUUAAAAAUAUGUAUUGAGUAUUAAAUGCAAGUUCUUAACUAUAGUGAACAAAAUGCCAAAAUAUUGCUUGUUUUUGGAAGUAUCGUAGUAUGUAAUUUUACAACACAAUUAUAUUUUCCAAAUAGUGUUUUAAAGCAAGUAUGAGAAUGAAAAUGUAGGGGCCAGAAUUUAGCUCAGUGGCAUGAGCGCCUGCCUGGCACGACCAUAGAGCACAUCUAUUUUAAUAAAUAUGUUUUUUUAAUUCUCUGGCUGUUAAUUAAAUACAUACAUAUAACUCUGGGAAGAAUUAAAAUUGAAACUCUUUAGAAAUACUUUAUGAUACAUGGAGAGUUUCAAAUAGUUUUAGAAUGUAUUAAAAAAAAAGGGUAUUUUUUACUGAGGGUAUGGGAAGACUGCUCAGAAGACUCCUGAGGUGACACUGCCAUCCUUCAGAAGCUUCAGGAACAAUCAUGACUUUUUUAUUUGGGAUCUAACAGGAGCCGAGCUAAAGGGGUUGGCUAAAAGACAUGCUGAGAACCGAUAGGAGGACCCUUUGCACAUGCUCAGAAACGCAACAGAGGCGGAACUAAAGGCCCGGGCACAAUAACAUUACUGACAGCUGAUAGCUGGGUCUUCCACACAUGCCCAAAGGGCUGGAGGUUUGACUUGGGGGUUUGCCAUUUAACACAAAAGGGCACUGUCCAGCAACAGAGGCAGUUCCUACUUGAGGGAAAACCUAUCAUUACGUGCCACCCAGGAAUUCCAUACCCUGGAAUCAUCCACGAAAAAUGAAAAACAAACAAAACCAAGACAAGGAUCCAUGUCACUGUAAAGAUGGGGAUACAAUUCACAAGAGUCAAGUUAUAGAGUCACCCAAGUUGCCCAUCAGUGGGUAAAUGGGUGAAUAAAAUGUGCAACUUAGACACAGUGGAGAUUUAUCCAGUGAGAAAGAAACACAAAAUCACAGUAGCAGGCAAAUAUGUGUAACUAAUCACGUUAAGAACCACGUUAAGAAAAAUAAACCAGACUCACAAUGACAAAUAUUUCAUGUUUUCCUCAAAGUGUGGAAUCUCAGAAAUAUCGUAGAGAUAACAGAAAGUAGAAAGAGACUAUGAAACCAUGGAAGGGGAUCAGAAGGUGGGAGAACAAGGGUAUGAGAGAUGAAUGUAGAUAGGUAGGAUCAAAAGUAUUUUAUAUGCAUGUAUGUAAAUGCCACAUCGAAACUCCAUGUUCUGAAUGAUAAAUACGCUCCAAAUACACACACACACACACACACACACACACACACACACACACGGUAUGCUAAAUUUCAGAGCAGAAAUGGGCAUAAUAGCCAAAAAACUUGAAGCAUUCAAAAUAUCCACCGGCUGGUAAACAUUAUGUACUAAACUCAUACAAUUCCAUUCCACAAUAUUUUAAUUGAAUUCAAUAAUAAGAAAUAAAAUGAGCAAAAUAUCGUGUGC